UAAAACAAUAAUCGGGUUAUUUAGUGUCUGAUUACAUCCAAUUGUUACAUGCACAAAUUAAUAAUCCAAAUAUACUACUCUUUGCAAAAUAAGCUGUAGUCUUUACAAAGAACUACUCCGUGAUGGUGGACUUCUCCGUGCUGGUCACCGGGGGCGCCGGCUACUCCGUUUGGAGGAUGUCAGGCAUUCACUUCCCCUGACAGCUGCUGAUGCAGUUGCAACCAACGGUGUGAACCCUUGGAAUUGGAGAGACACCUCAACUAAUGGUGGAGAUAAUCAGGGCACUUUUGGUGGGAGAGUCAUUUUAGUCAAGUGGGGUGAUUACACUAAAAGAAUAGGAAUUGAUGGUACUUCUGAAGCAAUUAAGGAAGCCAUCAAAACAGCAUUUGGACUAAGAACAAGACGAGUUUUCUGGCUUGAAGAUGAUGCUUUAGUGUGGCCAUUGGCUUCUUCAUCCUGAGCCAUAGCAUCGAUUUCUCCAGCCUCGCUUCCUCCAGUUAUGAUUUCAUCAACUAAUUCUUCUAGAGGAGUACAAUUGAUGUCUAGGAAAAAAGGUGUUGCCAGAUGAACAGCUACAAGAACAAUAAUGAGACAAGACAAUUAGAUUCAAUCAAAUAUAUCAGUGUCUGCUCUAGUCAUUUCAACAUGGUUAAAUCUGUAUGAAUCAUUAGUGGCAUUCUGUUGUCAGCUAUAAGUAUGCAUAAAGGGAAUCAUCACAUUUUUUUAGCAAGGGACAAUGUCUUCUUCAUCUUGAGCCAUAGCAUCAAUUUCCUCGUUGCCUACAGCCUCAUCUCCAGAGUAUGAAGCAUGUACCUGCAGCUUGAAUGGGAGCAUCGCCUUCCUUGCCAGCUGCGUUCUCACCUUCAGCAGAUAUGUUGAAGACGAGGGCAGAGUAGCUGGCCACGAGGACUGCUCGGUGAGAUGCAGAGGAUCUGCUUACUUGCUUGUCGGAGAUGGCGGAGAGCUCCUUGCUUGUGGGAGGGCCAGCUGGCUGGCUGCAGCAGCGAGGGCUAGCCGUAGCGAUCGGCAGGAGGGCCUGCCGGCUGGCCGCAGCGAUUGGCGGGAGGGCCCGCCGGCUGGCCGCAGCAGCGAUCUGCGGGAGAAUCACAGUGUGCUUGCGUGCGUGGAUCACGGAGGGUGGCCGACGGGUUCAAAUUUUAAAUUGUUCGCUUGCGUGCGUGUGGAUCAUGGGUGG